rnacentral:rRNA from 1 species
AGAGUUUGAUCAUGGCUCAGGACGAACGCUGGCGGCGUGCCUAAUACAUGCAAGUCGAGCGGUCCCUUCGGGGAUAGCGGCGGACGGGUGAGUAACACGUAGGCGACCUGCCUGCAAGACCGGGAUAACUUUCGGAAACGACAGCUAAGACCGGAUAGAUGGUUUUCUCGCAUGAGAGGAUCAAGAAACACGGAGCAAUCUGUGGCUUGCAGAUGGGCCUGCGGCGCAUUAGCUGGUUGGUGAGGUAACGGCUCACCAAGGCGACGAUGCGUAGCCGACCUGAGAGGGUGAACGGCCACACUGGGACUGAGACACGGCCCAGACUCCUACGGGAGGCAGCAGUAGGGAAUCUUCCGCAAUGGACGCAAGUCUGACGGAGCAACGCCGCGUGAGUGAAGAAGGUUUUCGGAUCGUAAAGCUCUGUUGCCAGGGAAGAACGUUUAGGGGAGUAACUGCCCUUGAAGUGACGGUACCUGAGAAGAAAGCCCCGGCUAACUACGUGCCAGCAGCCGCGGUAAUACGUAGGGGGCAAGCGUUGUCCGGAAUUAUUGGGCGUAAAGCGCGCGCAGGCGGUUCAUUAAGUCUGGUGUUUAAGGCAUGGGCUCAACCCGUGUUCGCACCGGAAACUGGUGAACUUGAGUGCGGGAGAGGAAAGUGGAAUUCCACGUGUAGCGGUGAAAUGCGUAGAGAUGUGGAGGAACACCAGUGGCGAAGGCGACUUUCUGGCCCGUAACUGACGCUGAGGCGCGAAAGCGUGGGGAGCAAACAGGAUUAGAUACCCCGGUAGUCC